rnacentral:lncRNA from 1 species
AUGAGCUGCACCCUAGAGACCAUGAACCUGGACAUUCCUGAGGGGCUGGGCCCCCAGAGGCACUUGCCCCGGGCCCGUGGGAGACGGAAAGUCCCCCGGAGCACAAGGGGCAGGCUGGGGGCAGAGGUGUGUGCAGCUCAGCCCUCACCUCCCCCCGGCCCGCUCCACACCUCCACAGGGAGGCAGCAGCUGGGGCAGCCCCACCCCACCCCUGCCCCGUGGUCUUGCACAGCAGGGAGCUGCCCGAACAAGGGUGACACAGGAGACCCGCACGAGCACUGGGCCGGCAGUGACAGCUCAGACGUCAGCGUGGACGGCUGGCCAUCGAGGACCCCGGCCUCCCCCAUGGCACGGUGCAGCCCCCUUGAAAUUCUAGGGGAAGGCAGGGACUCCAAACUGGAACUCAGCUUCCUCAGCCCCACAGCCGAGCCUGUAUGUGACGCACGCCCCACACCCCCACCUGGAACCCACAGCCUGCAGGGGGAGCGUCUGUCUGAACUCGGACCCACCAGGAGCUCACAGCAGACGUGGGACCCGCUCUUAUCACCCAGGCACACUCGCUGGGUCGUCAGGGGCCCCUGCUUCCCGGUGCCUUCUCCUCCAAGCCUUCCUUCCACUCGGUCUCUGCCUACCGCUGGGCUGACACCCCCUUAUCGACACUGCUUGGAGCAAGGCCAGGUGCACAGACACCUGGGGAACCACGUGUGCAGAGUCAGGGCCCCUGCUGCGGAGAGCUUGGCCUUGAAGCCCUUUGCAGGAAACGGGGGCUCUCCUGCAGCCAAGUCCACGGACGGGUCCCCGGGGACGCACGUGCUGCCCGGGUCAGUGUGUGGGCGAGUCCUCACGCUGGGGUGUUUUCCUAGAGGGUCGCGGCCCCCAUGCACACGGGCGAGAUGGAGGCUUCUGUCUGGGGACCCCUGUGUGGCAAGCGGCCCUGUGUGCGCAGUGUGGUCUCACCCCCGGUGGAGUUGGGCAGGGCAGCGCUGGGAGCCGGCCUUGCCAGAACUCCUGCCUGUCGCAGCCUCAGCCACUCUGCUGCUGCUCCGUGCCCAGUGGGCGAGGGCAGGACCAGCCGUUCUGAGCGUGCCCUUGCUUGGUUUUCUUUGGUAA